CUGCAUGUUAAAAAAACCCAAUAAUUCUGCUCCCCGUUCCCGUGAGGAGCAUGAAUACCUCUAACAUGCUACAGAAAACAAGGAGUUUUCAGGGCUGCCAGUCUUGCAGUAAAGACUGAGUGGUAGUAUAGGUCUCCUACAAGU
ensembl:snoRNA